CGAGUUUGAUCAUGGCUCAGAAUGAACGUUGGCGGCGUGGAUUAGGCAUGCAAGUCGAGCGCUCAUAGCAAUAUGGGAGCGGCGAACGGCGUAGUAAUAUGUAGGAACGUACCCUCGGGUCGGGGAUAGCCAUGGGAAACUGUGGGUAAUACCCGAUAAUCUCUGCGGAGCAAAGGUGUGAUUCCGCCUGAGGAGCGGCCUACACGAUAUUAGCUAGUUGGUAGGGUAAUGGCCUACCAAGGCUACGAUGUCUAGGGGGUGUGAGAGCAUGGCCCCCCACGACCGGAACUGAGAUACUGUCCGGACACCUACGGGUGGCUGCAGUCGAGAAUCUUCCGCAAUGGACGAAAGUCUGACGGAGCGACGCCGCGUGCGGGAUGAAGGCCCUUGGGUUGUAAACCGCUGUCAGAGGGGAUGAAAUCUUCGGAGGUGCUCCUCCAAAGUUGGCAGAGCCUCAAAGGAAGCACGGGCUAAGUACGUG
rnacentral:rRNA from 1 species